GACGAACGCUGUCGGCGUGCUUAACACAUGCAAGUCGAACGGAAAGGCCCUGCUUUUGUGGGGUGCUCGAGUGGCGAACGGGUGAGUAACACGUGAGUAACCUGCCCUUGACUUUGGGAUAACUUCAGGAAACUGGGGCUAAUACCGGAUAGGAGCUCCUGCUGCAUGGUGGGGGUUGGAAAGUUUCGGCGGUUGGGGAUGGACUCGCGGCUUAUCAGCUUGUUGGUGGGGUAGUGGCUUACCAAGGCUUUGACGGGUAGCCGGCCUGAGAGGGUGACCGGCCACAUUGGGACUGAGAUACGGCCCAGACUCCUACGGGAGGCAGCAGUGGGGAAUAUUGCACAAUGGGCGGAAGCCUGAUGCAGCAACGCCGCGUGCGGGAUGACGGCCUUCGGGUUGUAAACCGCUUUCGCCUGUGACGAAGCGUGAGUGACGGUAAUGGGUAAAGAAGCACCGGCUAACUACGUGCCAGCAGCCGCGGUGAUACGUAGGGCGCGAGCGUUGUCCGGAUUUAUUGGGCGUAAAGGGCUCGUAGGUGGUUGAUCGCGUCGGAAGUGUAAUCUUGGGGCUUAACCCUGAGCGUGCUUUCGAUACGGGUUGACUUGAGGAAGGUAGGGGAGAAUGGAAUUCCUGGUGGAGCGGUGGAAUGCGCAGAUAUCAGGAGGAACACCAGUGGCGAAGGCGGUUCUCUGGGCCUUUCCUGACGCUGAGGAGCGAAAGCGUGGGGAGCGAACAGGCUUAGAUACCCUGGUAGUCCACGCUGUAAACGGUGGGUACUAGGUGUGGGGUCCAUUCCACGGGUUCCGUGCCGUAGCUAACGCUUUAAGUACCCCGCCUGGGGAGUACGGCCGCAAGGCUAAAACUCAAAGGAAUUGACGGGGCCCCGCACAAGCGGCGGAGCAUGCGGAUUAAUUCGAUGCAACGCGUAGAACCUUACCUGGGUUUGACAUGGAUCGGGAGUGCUCAGAGAUGGGUGUGCCUCUUUUGGGGUCGGUUCACAGGUGGUGCAUGGCUGUCGUCAGCUCGUGUCGUGAGAUGUUGGGUUAAGUCCCGCAACGAGCGCAACCCUUGUUCACUGUUGCCAGCACGUUAUGGUGGGGACUCAGUGGAGACCGCCGGGGUCAACUCGGAGGAAGGUGGGGAUGACGUCAAGUCAUCAUGCCCCUUAUGUCCAGGGCUUCACGCAUGCUACAAUGGCUGGUACAGAGAGUGGCGAGCCUGUGAGGGUGAGCGAAUCUCGGAAAGCCGGUCUCAGUUCGGAUUGGGGUCUGCAACUCGACCUCAUGAAGUCGGAGUCGCUAGUAAUCGCAGAUCAGCAACGCUGCGGUGAAUACGUUCCCGGG
rnacentral:rRNA from 1 species